rnacentral:lncRNA from 1 species
CUGGGGAAUCAUCCAAGCCAAACUAAAGCAGUGAGGCGGAAGAGGAAACAGGAGCCAAGGAUUUCCUAAAUACACUGUGAGCUAGAAGGAGCCUCUCAGUUCACCCUGAGGCCAGUCCCUGCAAAUUUAGGACUUCACAUCACACCAGCCAGCCUGCGUUCAAUUCCCUGCCAGAAAAACCACAUUCACCAAAUCUUCCGCAGGGCCCUGGAACCACAGGGGUUGAAAGCGAAUAGUUUUGCAGGCAGAGGAGGAAGAAGCCAGUUUUCUUCUCACAGGCGCGCUAACUCCUUCCUACAUGACGGACACCUGGGAUCCCAAAACAGCUGGGCUGGAAGGGCCCUCGAGAAAGGAACUGCCAACACGUGCCCUGUGUCAGGCCCUGAAGGUGGGCAUUUUCGUGAACAUUGUCAUAACACUCUGCUUCGAGGUAGGUAUCGUUAUCCCCAUUUUUCAGAUGUGAAAAAUCGAGGUUUGGUGACUUCCCAAGGAGGGGUGGGGAUGUUGUAUGACUCCAGAGCCUUUUCCCUGGAGCUCUCCCAACUUGGAAGCUACCGAUUCUCUGAGGUUUGGGGGAACAAGCAUCAGGUGUGAGGCGCCGAAGCUUUCCAAGGGACAACAGCGUGACAGUAGUUUCGGCAAGAACCACGCCUCCCUUGUCGCCACACACUGAUUACUGUUGCUUUCCUUUAAGAGCCUUCCCCUGAAAGAUGAAGUCCUCGCCACACGGGGAGGCAGAAUAGAUUCCUGGAUCUCUCGGACGUCUUUUCUCCCUCACCCUCAUUGAUCCCCACUGGCGACAGAAAUUCUUCCCCUCCACUAGCGAGUGAAGGCACGAGACUACAUUUCCCUGGAGGUCGUCAGAAGCGGGUGGCGAGGAGAGAAGGAAACAGACUCUCCGUUUCUGUCUGCUCUCAAUAUGGACUGUCGGCGGUGAUGCACAUUUCAAUAGCGCACGUCCUUCCUCUGUUGAGCUGAGGGGACCACUUCCCCCAGCAGGCACUCGAGCAGAGAAUGUGCUAGGCCGCCAUGGUUAUUGACGUCCUUUCUCCUAUUUUCACAGGCAGUAGCCUUAGUGCAUGAACUACAAGUCCCAGGAAACCGUCUCUUCUUUCGUCCAGCGGCCAUCUUUGCUGGUAGACCCCGCCCUUUCCCCCCCUUCUAUUGUCUCGUCAAAGAUAAUAGAAGGGAGCCGGGAAGACUGCAACUCCCGUCAAGCUUUGCGCCAACAGGAGGGGAAUUUCGAUAUUACAGGCGGGCGAGGUGCCAAGGUAGUAUAGUGAGGCGAUCGGGAGAAGCUAGGUUGCCUGCCAUUUUUAUGGUAGUCCCCAUAUCCUCUUGGUCCUGCCUUCUAGAACUCUAGAAGGCUAGGUGGGAACAUCGCACCUCGUAAGAUGGACUACUAAGCAGGUGUCCACCCCCUCCUCCGCCAUCUUGUUUGUAGUCGUCAUUCGCACGCCUGUACGCUCUGCAACCGGGAACCUUGGGGCAGCCAGACUAUAACUCCCAGCAUCCUCCACUCCCGGUUUGGCACGUCCUCCGUCAUCUUGUUUGUAGUUCCCACUGACCGCACCAUCCCAUUGAUCCCACGGUA